UGCUGAGGAGUCCCAUACUAGGACGAAACGGCCGUCCAGUGC
rfam:Schistosoma haematobium scaffold871_18, whole genome shotgun sequence.